GAUGAACGCUGGCGGCGUGCCUAAUACAUGCAAGUCGAGCGAACAGACGAGGAGCUUGCUCCUCUGACGUUAGCGGCGGACGGGUGAGUAACACGUGGAUAACCUACCUAUAAGACUGGGAUAACUUCGGGAAACCGGAGCUAAUACCGGAUAAUAUAUUGAACCGCAUGGUUCAAUAGUGAAAGACGGUUUUGCUGUCACUUAUAGAUGGAUCCGCGCCGCAUUAGCUAGUUGGUAAGGUAACGGCUUACCAAGGCGACGAUGCGUAGCCGACCUGAGAGGGUGAUCGGCCACACGUGAACUGAGACCGGGUCCCAAAUCCUACGGGAGGCAGCAGGAGGGAAUCUUCCGCAAGGGGCGAAAGCCUGACGGAGCAACGCCGGGGGAGUGAUGAAGGUUUUCGGAUCGUAAAACUCUGUUAUUAGGGAAGAACAAAUGUGUAAGUAACUAUGCACGUUUUGACGGUACCUAAUCAGAAAGCCACGGCUAACUACGU
rnacentral:rRNA from 1 species